UAUUUUCAUAUCGUGCAGUAAUCGUCGCUGUUCGUGCAAGUUGCCAAAGACGCGCUUUUGUGUGAUAUGAAUUGAGCUUUCUCGGCUACCGUACAUUUCCGCUUCAGCGAGCAGCUAGCUCUUCAGGUUGUUACCAUUUUGGGCUUCGAAGUAAACAUUCAAUCACAAAGUUUGAUGGCAGUCUGCUCGUUGCCGAGUGGUGAAGUGGUUGGCCAGAGGGACGAGUGGUGAAGUGGUCGGCCAGAGGGACGAGUGGUGAAGUGGUCGGCCAGAGAGACAAGUGGUCGGUCAGUGGGACGAGUGUUACUCCAUACCUGGACCUGAGACAAAAAGAUUGCCAAGUAAAAACAGAGGGCUUUUAACGAGCUCACGGAGUAUCUGUGGCUGAAGACAAACCGGCAGGCUUUGCACUUUCUGGACCAGGAUUUGCCACCUCCACCUGUAAAGAAAAAGAAACAUUGACACAACUCUAUUUAAGUUGACAGGUUUUACUUUUAACUGUAGACUGGAAGCAGCCAGAGUUCCUGUAAUGUUAAGACUUUCCAGGGUGGACACCUGCACACAACACAAACAAGGGAGCCAUCAAGCUGCCAUUUAGUACAUUUUAUUUGAGCGUCAACUCUGAAAAUGGAGGCAACCUUGAGGAACCUCUGCAUGGUUUUGGAGGGCUUGUUCCUUUGGCCAGCAGGGGGCAGUUUUCCAACAGCAUACUUACUGGAAAGUGCUCUGCAGGAAUAGGGAGGCAUAAAAAAGCAGGUAAGUGCUCUUAAACAAUGCCAAGUUUGUAGUAAAUUGUCACCUGUUAACACGUCGGACAAGAGGUUGAUGCCACAGGUUCAAAACCUUGUAGCUCCACCCCAGCAGAUCCAUGCUGCAGAAACUAGGUCUUUUGGCACCACCUAGUGGACAAAAGGAAGAACAAGCUGAAAUGUUUGACAUGUGUCAAACAUUUGGACGCGUGCGUGUUUCACCAGUGAGGAAUGGAGGGCAGCACCGAACGUCUCUCCAACCAAGCUGGACACCAUCCCAGGUCAAAAACCGUUCAGCCAUAUUGGCGUUGAAAUGUUUUCUUGUUUUCUUAUCUAUUCAUAGGAUAUGUCUCAUUAAAUAGAUAAAAGCACCAAAUUAUUACCUGUUUGCAGAACACUCCGUGGUAUAGUGAUUAAAGCUUUUGCCUUAUGUUCGAGAGAA